rnacentral:rRNA from 1 species
AGUGAACGCUGGCGGUAGGCCUAACACAUGCAAGUCGAACGGCAGCACUGUAAGAGCUUGCUCUUACGGGUGGCGAGUGGCGGACGGGUGAGGAAUACAUCGGAAUCUACUUUUUCGUGGGGGAUAACGUAGGGAAACUUACGCUAAUACCGCAUACGACCUACGGGUGAAAGCAGGGGAUCUUCGGACCUUGCGCGAUUGAAUGAGCCGAUGUCGGAUUAGCUAGUUGGCGGGGUAAAGGCCCACCAAGGCGACGAUCCGUAGCUGGUCUGAGAGGAUGAUCAGCCACACUGGAACUGAGACACGGUCCAGACUCCUACGGGAGGCAGCAGUGGGGAAGAUUGGACAAUGGGCGCAAGCCUGAUCCAGCCAUACCGCGUGGGUGAAGAAGGCCUUCGGGUUGUAAAGCCCUUUUGUUGGGAAAGAAAAGCAGCAGGUUAAUACCCCGCUGUUCUGACGGUACCCAAAGAAUAAGCACCGGCUAACUUCGUG